rfam:Triticum aestivum genome assembly, contig: Triticum_aestivum_CS42_TGACv1_scaffold_095114_2AL
UUUGUACUCCCUCUGUCCGGAAAUACUUGUCGGAGAAAUGGAUGUAUCUAGACGUAUGUUAGUUCUAGAUACAUCCAUUUUUAUCCAUUUCUGCGACAAGUAAUUCCGGACGGAGGGAGUACAUC